UCUGUCAUCAUUUUAGGUGGGGGAACUUGCACAAUCGGUGGCUGACUAAAUACUUUUUUGCCCCACUGUGUUCCAGCAUAAAAAAUACCAUAUAACUUUUGUGUUUACACAUAUGUUGCUGCCGGACGUCGCGUGCUCAAACCUCAUUGUCAUGAGACACUCUCACAAACAAAAUCAUGGUUUAGUAACGCAGUAACGCAGCAUGCUUAUGGGAAAGUAGCAGUAAUCUAAUUACUUUUUUGCAAUAGUAAUCCAUUACUUUACUAAAUACGUUAGUUAUGCGUUACUGCCUCUGAUUUCUGAUCACGAUACACGAUACAUAUCGCGAUAUGUUUGAAUAACCUCCAAAAACAAAUGUUUUUUUUAACCAUAUAGUGACUAAAAUUUCACUGGUAUAGUCACUCAAAUUACCCAUUCCAUAUAUACUAUAAACAAAAUCAGAAUGAAUUGAAAUGUUUUUUUAACCACAGAGAUUUUUCCAAAAUGACACUACUGUCGCAGUAAGUCUCUUUCUGUGGUCAACACUGACCUUUAACGAAAGAUCAUAGCAACAAAAAAGGACAUCAAGCAAUAAUUCAUGAGACAAAAUAAAGCAAUUAAAAUUGAAAAGGUGCUCUUUUGUAAUUAUAACAUAUAAAAAUUGUAAAAUAAAAAAUGUGAUGACCUCAAAUUACAAAAACAUAUGCCUAGAUAAUGACUAUUAAAAAAGCUGACCAAGAACAGUCACAGGGAUCACAGCUGGUUAAUUUAAUGUUUUCUUUGGUGUGUGGGGAGAUGUUGACAUGCAGAGUUUAAGAAAAUAUCCCCCACACUAUUAGACCACCAUCAGCACCCUAAACUGUUUAUACGAGGCAGGACAGAACUUCUUCGGUUUUUCCAAUUUUGGUUAGUUCAGGUAAUUGUGCCAUCACGUUCCUAUUCUCAGCUGGCAGGAGUGACAUCUGCUGUGGUCUUCUGCUGCUGUAGCCCAUUUGUUUUUACAUUUUAAGCUUUGUGCAUUCAGAGAUCCUCUUCUGCACACUGUGGUUUGUAAAAGUUGUUAUUUGAGUUACCUUUGCCUUCCUUUCAGCUUGAAGCAGCAGCCUGGUUCUGCUCUGACCUCUGGCAUCAAACAACCACUCAGAACAGCUGCUCUCUUUUUUUCAGUCCAUUGUGUGUACACCCUGGAGAUAGUACUGUGGGAAAAUCCCAGUAGGUGAGCAAAUUCCAAAAUACUCAGACCAUCCUGUCUGGCACCAAGAACCAUAUAUUAUAUAAAUCUUUUUUUUUUUUUUGUAUUUUACAAAGCAGCCAAGGUCCACUGAGGCUUUUUAAACAUUUGUAGAACUCUAUUAUAUCUGUCAGCAUCAUCAAGCACAAUGACAAUAGAGCCUCUGGGUGUGAAUCUUCACCUUCCUUCAUAUUUACUGCAGCACCAUUUGAUCUUUUACAGCUUCCUUCAGUCCCCUGCACUGCUUCUCAUUUAAAACCAUGUGGGGGUUUGAUCUCACUAUGACAAAGCUUUUCUGACACUUAAAAGGGCAUCUCGCCACUGUUCAGCUCUCACAUGCAUUCCUAAUAGUGAGAAUGAUAGUUAGCAGUAAGCGCUAAUUUCACAUAAUUGAUUUUUCCACUCGGUUCCAUUUAACACAAUGUAAAAACCGUAAUUGGACUCUAUGUCAGUCUGCACAUUGUUUUUCACUUCCUACUAUGUCCCCUUUAGAGCUUCGGAGGGAACAUAUAUAAUGGAUCACGACAAAGAAGCUGGAUGCAAGAACCAGGUGCAUCUGUGGUUAUCAGUUUGCAGGUUCAACUCAGGCAAGUGUGGUUGGAGAGAGCAAAUUAAGAAUUUUAUAUAUUCCCUGUCGUGCUUCCAAGGUGCCUUUAAUCAAACCUCUUAGAUUAAAAAUAUUCUUUAGGCCUUUUUAAAUGUUAAGUGUUAAAAACUCGUCUCUGAUUGCCAGGAGAUUCCAGGAGUUGGUUCCUAACGAACUGUUAUAAUUCACCCGCCCCACAACCACCACAUAACUUUAGUGAUUUAUUACUUCUUCUACAAUUCCAACUUCUAAAGAACGAGUCUGGACUUGUUGCUUGCUUUUUUCUGAUAAUGAUAGCACUGUUAUUAAUAUCUGUCAGCGCCAGGGCUAGUUUGUUUCCAGUAAACUACAGCCUUACAACAACUAUCCUCUGGCCAUUUUGGGCAUUCUUGGUUACUGAGACUACUGGCCAUACAGAAAGGCUGUGUACUGUUAGAAUAGCAUUGAAAACAGAAAAUGAUUAGGGUCAUAAUUAACUUUUCAGCAGUGUAUUUUACUAACUAGUUAGAAACUUAACAGAAUGCACCACAUGACUCCACACCACCACUGCACAUGUCUCUUGUGUUCUCCUCUAUAUGUGCUUCUAGACAAGGUUGAGAGUUUUGUAAACAACGGACUUGGAGGUUGUGAUGACACCACUUAUAACAUGCCCAAGAUAGGUUUUUCGCUGCAUUAAAGUUUGUGAAAAUAAAUAAAAACAUUUUCAUGGCACCACAUAUCUGAAAAAAUUUAAUUUAAAAAAACCCCACACAGAUACUGAUAUACUGUAUAUGUACAAUAGAACAAAAAUAUCAAUACAGCCAUAGGGUUGGACAAUAUUGUGAUGAGGUAGACCAGGUCAUCUACUAAUUGGAAGGAUGGUGGUUCAAUCCUUGGCUGCUCCAGUCUGCAUGCCAAAGUAUCCUUGGGCAAGAUACUGAUCUCAUGAAGUUGCUCCUGAUGCGCUCAUUUGAGUUUGAGUGUUUGAUAAAAAGCAAUAGGUGAAUAAAAUGCUUUGAGUGCUCCAAGGAAAGGGAGUGGGAGAAAGCAAUAUAAUAACCAGUCCAUUUACCAUAGUUGUGGUCUAUGUGCUGUAUAUUAAUUAGGUCCACUGAGUCUUCAUCGUGUGUUUCACGAGGUUGGUGCUUUGGGGAUGCAGCUAUGUGUGAGUUGCUGGUAGACUCAUCGACAGCCCUGCGUAACGAUCUAUUGAAAUGCUGUAAAAUGUACGCAGGCUAUGCAUGUUUUCCUAUAGCAUUACAGUUCUGAAAAAUAAGUUCAGCUUUAAUAAAAACAGUGUUUCUCCAUGAAAAGAUAAUCAAGUGCGCUGGCUGCUGCUCAAGCCAGAUUUGCAAAAUAUCUUGCUGAUAAUUAUGACCACUGACAUGAUUAUGCCUUUAAGUAUUCACAGGCAAAGUGUUAACAAAAUGUCAAUAGUAAUCUAAUUUGCUUUUAAUCUUUUAAAUCUCAGGGGGGUACCUGCUUGAAAAUGACAGACCUAAAAAGAAUGGAUUAUUUCUCUACAAUUGCAAACUCUGUGUAAACCAUCUUGGUAUCAAAAUAAACUAACACGUGUGAGACUUGAUAAUAGGUGUAAGCAUUACAGCAGAUGCUACAGUAUCAAAGUAACUGAGGAUGGAAGACAGAAAAACAAAAGUUGAAAUUUCUUAGGUAUUGAAUAGCAAAAAUUAGCCGUACUUGUCAGACAAAUACACAACAGUUUACUGGAGCGUAAACAGGCAAAGAAGGCAGAAAAUAGUGGUUCAUGAUGGGAAACUGCUCUUGAAGCACACUGGGAGAUGGAGCAGUGCAGGAAAUGUGGUUUUAUUGCGGUGGAUUUUUUUUAGGAAGCGAGACCGCAAAGGUAAGACAGAAUUCAUGCUAAUAUUUUUCAAAAUUGAAGCAUAAUUUUGGUCUUUUUUUGCUGCUGCUUCAGUGAACUUUGGUUGGAUCCGAGAUCUGUGCUUUCAGCAGAGAUAUGGUUUGGCCACGUACAUGCCAUCGGAGUGAACAGGCCUCCUUGGAACGUCUGCAGGUUUUUCAGAACGCUGCUGCAAGGCUCCUGUCCAAGUCUCCCAAGUACUUGCAUGUUGCACCACUGCUGAUCCAGCUGCACUGGCACCAUCCCGCACCAACAUACAUCCCUAAUCUUUUACAUCCAUACAUCCACAGCAGGCCCCUGAGGUCAUGUGAUCAAGGUUUGUCAGUUGUCCUUCAUAUGAGGCUGAAAAUGGAAGGUGACAGAGCUUUUGUAACUGUGGCCCCCAGACUCUUGAGAUCUGUAGACUCAGUGGUGUCUUUGUGAUUUUUAUCUUGAAAGGUGCUUUACAAAAAAAUUUACUUACUUAGACAUAUGGAUAACAUGAAACAGCCUAAAAAUACAUUUUUGCUAUAAUUUUAAGCUAAGUUUGUUCUAGCUUUGUGUUACUGUAGGCAGUUUACCUUACAUUAUAAAGUGCCUUGAAGCGACUGUUGUUGUGAUUUAGAAUAGAAUAGAAUAGCUAAGGGCAAGGGAGGGCUCAAUCCAGCCAACUGAGUUGUUUUACCCACCCAAACCAGCCAGUAGUCUGCUGAUCGCCUACAAAACCUCCCCCUGCAGAGCCAUUUAGACUUGAGGUACAAGCA